CCGCGCCAGGAAUGCGCGGGUCCGCGGAGGGGGCGGAGCCAGAGGGCGCGACCCCGAGACCUGCUGAGAAGAGGCAAGCUGUGGUGGGGUACGCGGUGGCCGCACUGGGGAAGCGCGUGGAGGCGGCGGAGUGAGGCCAGAGACACGCGUGCAGUUCUGCGGGGCGUGAGACCCAAGACGCCUAGAUGCCAAGAGACUGAGGGAAAAGAGAGCACACGCUCAGGAGGUUGCGGAGGCGGACUCGGGGACAGGGGCGGAGCUACACCCCGGGGCGUGCAACUCGUGGAGAGUGAGGGGAGGAGUGAGAGCGUAGACACGGAGUACUGGGAGCGGGAAGGAGCCGGCCCAGCCGGAGUAGGACCGGGGAACGCUUCGGGCGCGCGAGUAGCUCCGGAUUGGCUGGGAGAACGCGGAGCGAGUGCGCGCGAGGCACGAACGCAGCUUCAGCCGGGCCCCAGACAGAAGCAAUCCCCUGCCGAGUCUGGCCCCUCGGUUAUCCGCCACCUGAGGCCGGCUCUCCCAAGCGGCGGAGCCUUUGGGGAGCGUGGCAGACUCAGCCCUCUGGGCUUCCCCCCAUAGCUCAAGGGAGCAACCGGCCGGUCCUCUGAAGACGCGAGAGAACCUAGAGGUGGUUUAGAAAGCUGAGUGGGUGGAAGAACGGCGGCUACAUGACAAGAGUCUGCUGUGGGCGGUGAGAGAGGUAUACUGUCCCGCCUCAUAGCCGCUAGCUUCCUCGGUCAGCCGGCCCUAAGGGAGGCUUUCUGCCUCACCUUGCUUUAGGAUCCCAUUUCCAAGACAGUACCUACAAGAGGGUCCCCACAAACCAAGCUUAGGAGUCUGCAGCUGAGCAUCUGGAAUGGAGACAACUUGCUUCUCUUCCUCCAGCUUCCCGUGGUUUUAUGGCCUUAAGCUUCCUCGACACAACCUCUGCUUGUAGAUGAAACGCAUCAAUCUACUUAGAGAACGAGAAGAAUGUUUUUCACACCUGGAAUUGUUUUGCAGUUGUUUCUGACAUGAGAGUACCAUGAAAACAGCCUUUGUUGCCAUUUAUUUCCAUGUGCCUUUUAUAACAGUCACCUGUGGCUAUUUAUGUAGCGUUCUUUGUUACCUUUUUUCUGACUUUUUAAUAUCCGAGGGGAAAAAAUAUACAUGAAUGUGUAUGUAUUGUGUGUACACACAUAAUUUUUUUCCUUCAAUUCUCAGCCAUGAUCAAAAACCUGGAAACAUAAAAAUAAAAAGCAAAGGGACCGGAGUUGUGGUUCAGCGGCAGAGCACUAGCCUAGCACAUAGGCGACCCUGGGUUCAAUCCUUAGCACCACAUUAAAAAAAAUAAAAUGAACGUAUUGUGUCCAACUACAACUAAAAAGUAAAUAUAAAAUUUUUAAAAGCAAAGUAUCAAAAAAUGUAUAAUCGCUAGCGUUUAUACACAAUUAAAAUCUCAGGGCUGAUUUGAUAGUUAUGAGUUUUGUUCAGUUGGAACAUAAAAUUUCUCACCAUGUUCAGAAGAUUCAGACUGUUGGCCCAGGAAGGUGGCACAAGCCUGUAAUCCCAGCGACCUGGGAGGCUGAGACAGGAAGUUUGCAAAUUAGAACCCUGCCUUAAUGUAGUGAGACCUUGUCUCAAAUUUAAGAAGGACUAGGGAUGAAGCUUGGUUGUAAAGCACCUCUGGAUUUAAUCCGCAUUACCCCUCCCAAUCAAACUGUUGAGUAUUUUGUUUUAAAUAAUGGGGAGUACAAAAAAGAUGACGGAUGGAAUCAAAAUGAGUUAAUAAUGAGUUUUUAAAUUUUUUUUGUUGUAAAUGGACACAAUGCCUUUAUUUUUAUUUAUUUAUUUUUAUGUGGUGCUGAGGAUGGAAGCCAGUGCCUCUGCCUCACCCACACUACGUGAGUGCUCUACCACUGAACCACAACUGAAGCCCUGAGAUUAUGAAUUUUUUUAGGACAUGUAUUGCUAGUAUUUUUGACAGUAGAUUAAAAUUUUAAGCCAGAUCAUAAAUUUAUUUUCCACAAUUAUCUCCAUAAAUCCUAGUGGCCAGCAAAGAUUUAACUGACUUCAAAUCGUGGAUAUAGAUGAGAAAGUUGUCCAAAAGUUAUGUCAAACUAAAGAUGAAGAGCAAGUAGUUGUUUACAUUGUUACCUUUCUAAACUAUCUUUAUUCUCUAAGCACUCUCAUGUUUUAACUAAUUAGGAAAUAAUAAGCUCACUAACAGGCCCAGUGAUGCUAAACAAAUUUGGACCUUCAUUCUUUAAUUGCAGAAUAAAUAUGUGAAUUAAGUAAAAGGGUACACAAAAUAAUUUCAAUUUAGAAUACAGUUAUUCAUGAGAAAGAAACCAGCACUCUUGUUUCAUAAUCAAUAAGAAACCAACGGAUUUUAUGCAUCUAUAAAAAGUAGUAAUGACAAAAUUCAUGAACAUUAAAUUGAGAAAUAUUUUAGUCAGCUUUGCAGGGCUGUGACAAAAUUCCCAACAAGAACAACUUGGAGAAGAGAAAGUUUAUUUUGGCUCAUGGUUUCAGAGGUUCAGUUCAUGGUUGGCCCACUCCAUAGCUCUGGGCCCAGGAUAAGGUCCAAUAUAAUAGCAAAUGGGCAUGGUGGAGGGAAGCGUCUCAGACAUGGCAACCUGCUCACCAGGGACAAAAUAUAAACCUCAAGGCAUGCCUCCAGUGACCUACCUUCUCCAACCACACCAUACCUGCCCACAGUAACUAUCCAGUUGAUCCAUAUCAGAGGAUUAAUCCACUGAUUAGGUUAAAGCUCUUAUAAUCUGAUCAUUUUAUCUCAGAAUUUCUAUCAUUAUUUCACACAUGAGUUUUUGGGGGACAACUCUUGUCUAAAUGAUAACAGGUCAAAUGUGAACUCUGAAUUAAGAAAUUUAUUGAAAGUUAUAAUUUGCUAAAUAUUAAUACUAAUUUAAAAUAUUAGAAUUAGUUAUAAAAGAUACUUGUCAAAUGCCUCUAUCUUUCCCAAACUCUGCAAGUUUUAACAGGUAACAUUUACACAGGAAGAACUCAUUGUCUAGUGUGAUAUUUUCUUUUAUUGCUGGUUAUUGAAUGAAUAGAAUAGUACCCCAUUUAUUGUUUUUACUAGUUUCAGUUACCUACAGUCCACUGUGGUCUAAAAGUAUUCAAUGGAAAAAAAUCCAGAAAUAAUAAGUUUUAAGUUGCAUGCCAUUCUUAGCAUAAUGAAAUCACAUUUCAUCCCACUUAGUCCUACAAGAGAUGUGGACCAUCCCUUUUGUCCAGCUGUUAGUCAUUUAGCAGCCAUCUCAAUUAUCCUCAACAGUAUCCAUAUCACAGUGCUUAUGUUCUGGUAACCCUUAUUAAAUGAUGUUCCCAGAUCACAAAGUAGUGAUGCUAGAUAUGCCAAAGAGAAAUUGUGAAAUGCUUUCUUUCAGUGAAGAGGUGAAAGUUCCUGAUUUAACAAGGAAAAAAAUCAUGUGCUGAAGUUGCUAGGAUCUAUGGUAAGGAUGAAUAAGAAAAAAUAACUAUAGGGUUUGGUACUAUCUGAGAUUUCAGACCUCCACUAAGGGAUUGGAAUGAUAAAGGGGAAUUACUAUAUUAUAGCAUGUAUACCUUUAGUUCUAUUGUGAUGUGACUUUUUUUUUCAAAAUUCAUCCUUAAAAAAAAGUGUUCAAAUUUUCUCAAAGUUAGAAGGAGUGUAGCAUUUCCAAAUAUUAACGAAUGUCUCAGGAAACAUCGAGCCAAGGGAAGAGAGAACCAGAAGUAAAAAGUUCAGUUUUAUGUAAAGAAUAGUAAGUGCCCAGGGAUUACUCUGUCUGUUCUUAAGGUUUUAGUAAUUAAAACUACAAGAGUCUACAUUAACCAUCUGAGGCAACAUAAAAGAUAGGCUUUCAUAAUGUUUUCAUUAUGAAAAUGAAACUUUGUAUUUAUCAAUAGAAAUAAAGUUUAGAGGUUUUUCUAAUAGUGGUAUAUUUACUAUAGUUAACUCUUAGUUUUCCUAUCUUUAAUCAGAAUUUCAGUGUAAAUAAGGCAAAAUUUUCUGGGCUUCCUUAGGCUUAUUCCACUCCUACAUCUUUUUGAUUAACUAAUACCCACAAUUAAAAUGGAGUCCAUUAAAAAUGGGUGCAAGAGGGCUGGGGAUAUAGCUCAGUUGGUAGAGUGUUUUCCUUGUAUGCACAAGACCCUAGGUUCAAUCCCCAGCACCAAAAAAAAAAAAAAAAAAGAAAGAUAAGAAAGGGUACAAGAAACCUUUUGAAUACAUUUAAUGCCACUGAAUUUUGUACUGCUGAAUUUUGUGUAUGUGCAUGUUACCACAAAAAAAUAAAAAGAUGCAUAUGAGGUGAAACUCUGGUUGAUUUUAGCCAAAAUUUGUUCCCAAAGGUAGAUUAUAUUGGAGAACAUUCUAUAUGUUAUUGAGAAAAAUAUGUAUUCUGCUUGCAGCUGUAAGGUGGAAUAUUCUGUAACUAUGUGAGGUCCAUUUGGUUUAGAGUAGGGUUUAAAUCCAGUGUUUCUUUAUUUUCCGUCUGGAUGAUCUGCAAAACACUGAGAAUUGAGAGUUGGCAUUCCUUAUAAACAU
rnacentral:lncRNA from 1 species